CCGGGCUGCCCUGCCUUAUGGGUGCCCUUCUCAGGGCCUCUGGCCCCGCCUCCCAAGCCGCCCUCCUUCCUUGCUUCUGUCUCCUGACCUUUCAGUCCAAAGGGGCCCCAGGGGCUGCUGGGAGGAAGGUCAGGCCCUUGUCCUACUCCACACCCUCUGCUCUGCCCCUAACCACCCGGUGGGGGGUUACAAAGGCCCCACCCUGGGUGUUCUUUCUCUUCAAUCUCCAAGGAGGAUGGUUGGCCAGGCCCUGGGAGGAGAAAGGCUUCGAGCUGCAGCCAGGCUGGGAUCAGAUCCCAGACACCACCCUGAGCCCGGGAAGUCUCUCCCUGGGGCCCGCUGGCUGUCCUAGCAGCCCCCUGCCAUCACGCCCAGCAACCAGCCCAGGAGCUGCAGUCUGGCCUCAGGCUGCCUGGGUUGCUGGCCCAAAUGGAAACAAUGUCAAGGCCAGCCAAGCAGGAAGCCGGGACCGCCCUUUCUGGGGAGCUGGGAGUGGGCCAGGGUCCAGCCUGGCUGGAGGCUCCUGCUAUGGGGAGAGGCCAGAGCCUUUCCGAGCCCACCUGCCUGACAGCCCUGGUGCCAGCAGGCCCUUUCUGGAUGUCACAGUGUUCUUGUCUCUAAGAUUGAUCGCAGAGUUGAACAACAGAGAAUGUGUGCACAGUGCCAGGCACAGGUGUGGUCAAGAUUCACCUGGGAGAGGAAGCGGGCAGGGGCAGAGGAGUGUGGCCACCUGAGCUGAGAGGCUGCAUGGCAGGUGACCAUUAUUACCAGUGUCACUGGCCAGGUCACCUCUCUGAAUUUUGUGGUUGCAACUUCCAUGAUUCCCUAGAGCUGUUUUUACCUAGAAUUAAUGAAAAAUUCUGCACAUUAAAUUCGUGCUGUUAGAA